GUCAACUUCCCUUUGUGCUGUAGCGAAGGGCUCUUCUUUUAAUUGCUUUCAGCACGCAGCACAAGGAUGGCUUUGUGAACCCCACUUUCCUGCACUGCAGGGACAGGUUUGAUAAGAAUAUGUCAAAAGAUGUGGACUCUGCAUUUUACAAAUGCAGACAGAAACUGGUGAACUUACUGAACACACGCAUCUAGAACUGAGUCGUGGCAUUCAGUGACCAUCUCGAGCAAGCCUUUGCUGGGCAGAGGGCAAUCUGUAUUCCCCUCUGAAGUCCAGAAGAGCUUUUACGGCAGCAGAGACAUGACUGUGACGAGAGCCUGGUGAGCCUGCCCAGAGAUUGUGGAGGGUUGAGGAGCGUGUCCAAUCCCACCGGAGCCCAGCACCCAGGACAGCCUGAUGGAUUCUCUCCCCUUUGCGCAUUUAUGUUUCCUGCUUCUGACCGUUUCAUCUCCCUUUCUAAAUACUGCCACGUCCAGUGGUGACUCUGCUGAGGGGACAAAAGGCUCUUCCUUUAGCAGCACAAAAGUGACAGCCUACGACUGCAAGCAUUGUGGUGUCAGCGUAUGCGAGUUAUCCAAUUUCAGUUGCUGUACCAUAAUUGGUGAAACACAAGACGAGACGUUUUCAAAUGAAGUAAUUCAGCUGGUGACCAAUGAAACGCACAUCACUAUGUGUUUUCAGCAAGCAAAUACUUUUUCGGAACAAAUUUACGCCAUCAUCUGGGCAAAAGCUGGGGGAAUAGGAGAUUCAUGUGGCAUCCUGAAGGCUGAAGCUUCCCCAGAGAAUAGGGGGGAAACAGUCGUUUCAGAGCAGAAGAAGACUUGCUGUACAGCACAGGUCCAGCUCGCAGUGCCCAGCACCCCCUUAAAUUGCUACGCUGACAAGGACAAAAGCCCCCAGCUCGGCAGCCCUGAGGAUGGAAAUGAUGUCGGUAAAAAUAAUGGAAUUGUUGAACAAUCACCACAUUCUCUCAGUGUUCAGCAAGACCAAUCUAUCAGCAUUACUUGCUCACUGAAAAGCUCACAUGAAGAAGAAGGGGUCUUCUUGCUCAGGACUCAUAUGAAAGCUGAUAUUUCUCAAAGCAAAAUAUUUCAACUAUCUUUCCUGCUUUUGCAAAUCGCUUGGAGUACUCAAAGCAAGAGAAGACAUUGGUGA
rnacentral:lncRNA from 1 species